CUGAACUAUUGUUCCUAUCUGAUAAAAUUAGAACGAUAAAGAGAAGAUUAACACGACUCAUGUGCAAGAAUGAUACAUACAUUUGAGAAAUUGUCCAUUUCGUU